rnacentral:rRNA from 1 species
GACGAACGCUGGCGGCGUGCCUAAUACAUGCAAGUUGAGCGAUGAAGAUUGGUGCUUGCCCCAAUUUGAAGAGCGGCGAACGGGUGAGUAACGCGUGGGGAAUCUGCCUUUGAGCGGGGGACAACAUUUGGAAACGAAUGCUAAUACCGCAUAACAACUUUAAACAUAAGUUUUAAGUUUGAAAGAUGCAAUUGCAUCACUCAAAGAUGAUCCCGCGUUGUAUUAGCUAGUUGGUGAGGUAAAGGCUCACCAAGGCGAUGAUACAUAGCCGACCUGAGAGGGUGAUCGGCCACAUUGGGACUGAGACACGGCCCAAACUCCUACGGGAGGCAGCAGUAGGGAAUCUUCGGCAAUGGACGAAAGUCUGACCGAGCAACGCCGCGUGAGUGAAGAAGGGUGUCGGAUCGUAAAACUCUGUUGGUAGAGAAGAACGUUGGUGAGAGUGGAAAGCUCAUCAAGUGACGGUAACUACCCAGAAAGGGACGGCUAACUACGUG